rnacentral:rRNA from 1 species
UACGGAGGGUGCGAGCGUUGUCCGGAAUCACUGGGCGUAAAGGGCGCGUAGGUGGCGCGGGAAGUCAACGGUGAAAGUUCAGGGCUCAACCCUGAAUCGGCCGUCGAUACUCCCGGGCUUGAGCACUGUAGAGGCAGAUGGAAUUCCGGGUGUAGCGGUGGAAUGCGUAGAGAUCCGGAAGAACACCGGUGGCGAAGGCGGUCUGCUGGGCAGUUGCUGACACUGAUGCGCGAAAGCGUGGGGAGCAAACGGG